rnacentral:rRNA from 1 species
GCUUAACACAUGCAAGUCGAGCGCGCCCUUCGGGGUGAGCGGCGGACGGGUUAGUAACGCGUGGGAAUAUGCCCGACACUAAGGAAUAGCCUCUGGAAACGGAGAGUAAUACCUUAUACGCCCUUCGGGGGAAAGAUUUAUCGGUGACGGAUUAGCCCGCGUUAGAUUAGAUAGUUGGUGGGGUAAUGGCCUACCAAGUCUACGAUCUAUAGCUGGUUUUAGAGGAUGAUCAGCAACACUGGGACUGAGACACGGCCCAGACUCCUACGGGAGGCAGCAGUGGGGAAUCUUGGACAAUGGGCGCAAGCCUGAUCCAGCCAUGCCGCGUGAGUGAUGAAGGCCUUAGGGUCGUAAAGCUCUUUCGCCAGAGAUGAUAAUGACAGUAUCUGGUAAAGAAACCCCGGCUAACUCCGUGCCAGCCGCCGCGGUAAUA